GCGCUGAUGGUGGAAUUGGUAUACACACUCUCCUUUAGCAACGAGAGUUCAGAAUUGCUAACCUGAGUGCAGGUUCGAGUCCUGUAAAGCGCACCA
rnacentral:tRNA from 1 species